AAUAAAAAUAGCAUGUAAGUGUGGGUUAACAAAAUGGCCCAUGUAUCUUGGAAGCAGUAAUUUGCAUUACAAACAGAGUUGCAGAAGGUGGCCCUUGUCACCCUUGUUCAGGGUUUGCUGCGAAAAUCACUGCUGCACCAGCCAGCCACCCAGAAACCUGCACUGGAAACAAGACCAUGAGAUGUGAUACCCUAAUCUGAGGAAAGAUUUACUGAGGCUGCUGAACUCAUCAUUCCAGACAACAUGACAAAUACUAUGCUCUACUCCAUACUUCAGCACCAAAUUAACUCAAGAACAGAAGCAGCCCACAAUAGAAGAAUUCUAUAGAAUUCCCUACCUUCUUCUUCAACCACUGUUCUCAACAUUUCUGAAUUUCCAAACACGUUUUCCUUUUGCUCCAUUCCGAUCUCCCCCCAGUCACUGCCAGCACGUUUUCCAGUGAUUCCAUAACCCUCUAAAUGAAGAUUUUCAAGAAUAAAGAAUCAAACUAUUCUGUAA